rnacentral:rRNA from 1 species
CACCGCGGUUAUACGAGCGGCUCAAAUCGAUAGCCUUCGGCACAAAGCGUGGUUAAUAAAAACAAAACUAGAGUAGAACCUCCUCAAGAUAGUAACAAGUUUCCGAAAGAGAGAACCCCAACAACGAAAGUGACUCUAAGCUUUAUGAGCCCACGAAAGCUAGGGAA